CCAGAUCCCAUAUGGUCAGAGUGCUGGCUUCUCCUCCGACAAUCAGAGUCCGACCAUCAGGAAGCAGCUUACAGGAACGGAUGUAGUUAUCCCUGUUCUAAAAAGAGAGAUGGACGCAUGAGGAAAAAAGAUACAGAGCCAGGUUUUUCCAACUCUCAACAAUCAGGCUAAAGAGGUUAAUCGAGUGGGAACGGCGGCCGAUAAGAGGGCUCAGAAUGGUAAUUUGUGAAGACUGAUUAGACAACAUCUUUACCAGACAAUCGAGCUGCGAGACAGGGCUCUUGCUCCCGGGCUGACUGAUGUCCCAGAUCUUCACGCAGCCCUUUCCUCCAGUGUAGACGUGCCGCGUAGGGUUGC